rnacentral:misc_RNA from 1 species
CUGCCCUCAAGCACGGCUUGUGUGUUGGGUGUGGUCCCCUCCCUGGCGGGGGGACCUGCCCGAAAGGCAGCGGCGACGUCGCGUCCGGUCCUCGAGCGUAUGGGGCUUUGUCACUCGCUCGGGAAGGAUUGGCGCAACGUCUGUCACCCACUGUAUUAUUUUACCAC